UACGUAGGGAGCUAGCGUUGUCCGGAAUCAUUGGGCGUAAAGCGCGCGUAGGCGGCCCGGUAAGUCCGCUGUGAAAGUCAAAGGCUCAACCUUUGAAAGCCGAUGGAUACUGCCGGGCUAGAGUCCGGAAGAGGCGAGUGGAAUUCCUGGGUGUAGCGGUGGAAUGCGCAGAUAUCAGGAGGAACACCGAUAGCGAAGGCAGCUCGCUGGGACGGUACUGACGCUGAGGCGCGAAAGCGUGGGGAGCGAACAGGA
rnacentral:rRNA from 1 species